rnacentral:misc_RNA from 1 species
AGUUGAGUUGAGUUGAGUUUAAGAUGUGUUUAAUUUGGCCUUUGUGCAUCAUGCUUUGAAUUAUUAGAUGGGUCUUAAAAGAAACAAGAAAAAAGAACAGAAAAUCUUUUGAAUGAAAUUUUCUUAAGAGAAAUGAAAGAGUAUGAUAAUUGCCGCCAAAAAAACGAAAAAAAGACGCCAACCAUUUAACCAACCCAAUUCUAAGGUCUUAGCUAGCAACAAAGAAAAUUGCAUGAUACUAUGGAUCAGAAUCAUGGUUUUAAGCUGUUAUGUACAAAUU